AUGACGUCAAGUCCUCAUGGCCCUUAUGGGCUGGGCUACACACGUGCUACAAUGGCGAUGACAAUGGGAAGCCAGGUGGUGACGCCGAGCCGAUCCCAAAAAGUCGUCCCAGUUCAGAUCGCAGCCUGCAACUCGGCUGCGUGAAGGUGGAAUCGCUAGUAAUCGCGCAUCAGCAUGGCGCGGUGAAUACGUUCCCGGGCCUU
rnacentral:rRNA from 1 species